ACGGGGUGCAGCAGGCGCGAAAACUGGCCAAUGCGCGAAAGCGUGAGCCGGCGACUCCGAGUGAUGGCCUACCGGCCAUUCUUUUGUCAAGCGUUCAAAACUUGGCGAAUAACGAGAGGGCAAGACUGGUGCCAGCCGCCGCGGUAAAACCAGCUCUUGGAGUGGUGGGCAUGUUUAUUUGGCUUAAAGAGUGCGUAGCAGGACAGCGUAAGUCCUCAGUGAAAUGCCAAGUCUCAAGCUUGGCGCGUGCUGGGGAUACUGUGCGUCUUGGGAACAGAAGAGGUCCAGGGUACUCACUGGGUAGGGGUGAAAUCCGAUAAUCCAGUGAGGACCACCGGUGGCGAAGGCGCUGGACUGGAAUGUGUCCGACUGUGAGGCACGAAAGCUAGGGUAGCGAGCCGGAUUAGAUACCCGGGUAGUCCUAGCCGUAAACGAUGCGCGCUAAGUGUUGGGUGAUGCUAGACAUCAUCCGGUGCCGAAGGGAAACCGUUAAGCGCGCCGCCUGGGAAGUACGUUCGCAAGGAUGAAACUUAAAGGAAUUGGCGGGGGCCUACUACAAGAAGUGGAGCCUGCGGUUCAAUUGGACUCAACUCCGGGAAACUCACCAGGACCGUAACGUGGAUGAUUGCCCUGCUAAAGACACUGCUUGAUGCGUUACUGGAGGUGCAUGGCCAUCGUCAGUUCGUGCCGUGAGGUGUC
rnacentral:rRNA from 1 species